UGGUUACUAUGAUGUUGGUCCGGUUCGAUCAGAAACAAGCAUUUGUAAUAGCUAGAGAAUGUUAUAGAUUUCUAUAGACAUUACUGGUGUACUUUUGAUUGAGCCGUGCCAAUAUCUUAGUGCUCUUU